rnacentral:rRNA from 1 species
GAAUUCGCCCUUAGAGUUUGAUCCUGGCUCAGGAUGAACGCUGGCGGCGUGCCUAACACAUUCAAGUCGAACGAAUUUAGACUGAAGCUUGCUUUGGUCUAAGUUAGUGGCGGACGGGUGAGUAACGCGUGAGCAACCUGCCUGUGUGAGUGGAAUAACAGUUGGAAACGGCUGCUAAUACCGCAUAACACAUAGAGACCGCAUGGUCAUUAUGUCAAAGAUUUAUCGCACACAGAUGGGCUCGCGUUGGAUUAGAUAGUUGGUGAGGUAAUGGCUCACCAAGUCUGCGAUCCAUAGCCGGACUGAGAGGUUGAACGGCCACAUUGGAACUGAGAAACGGUCCAGACUCCUACGGGAGGCAGCAGUGGGGAAUAUUGGGCAAUGGGGGAAACCCUGACCCAGCGACGCCGCGUGAGGGAAGACGGUCUUCGGAUUGUAAACCUCUUUCAGCAAGGAAGAUAGUGACGGUACUUGCAGAAGAAGCCACGGCUAACUACGUGCCAGCAGCCGCGGUAAUACGUAGGUGGCAAGCGUUAUCCGGAAUUAUUGGGUGUAAAGGGUGUGUAGGCGGGAUUGCAAGUCAGAGGUGAAAAUUAUGGGCUCAACCCAUAACCUGCCUUUGAAACUGCAGUUCUUGAGAGUGGGAGAGGUAAGUGGAAUUCCCGGUGUAGCGGUGGAAUGCGUAGAUAUCGGGAGGAACACCAGUGGCGAAGGCGACUUACUGGACCAUUACUGACGCUGAGACACGAAAGCGUGGGGAGCAAACAGGAUUAGAUACCCUGGUAGUCCACGCCGUAAACGAUG